rnacentral:rRNA from 1 species
UACGAAGGGUGCUAGCGUUGUUCGGAAUCACUGGGCGUAAAGCGUGCGUAGGCGGCUUUACAAGUCAGGGGUGAAGUGCCAAGGCUUAACCUUGGAACUGCCUUUGAAACUGUAAAGCUGGAGUGUCGGAGGGGAUAGCGGAAUUUCUAAUGUAGCGGUGAAAUGCGUAGAUAUUAGAAGGAACACCGGUGGCGAAGGCGGCUAUCUGGACGACAACUGACGCUGAGGCACGAAAGCGUGGGGAUCAAACAGG